UGGGGAAUCUUCCGCAAUGGACGAAAGUCUGACGGAGCAACGCCGCGUGAGUGAAGACGGCCUUCGGGUUGUAAAGCUCUGUUAUUCGGGAAGAACGAUUCGUUUGUGAACAAUGAACGGAAGUGCCGGUACCGAAAGAGAAAGCCACGGCUAACUACGUGCCAGCAGCCGCGGUAAUACGUAGGUGGCACGCGUUGUCCGGAAUUAUUGGGCGUAAAGAGCGCGUAGGCGGUAUGGUAAGUCUGUCUUAGAAGUGCGGGGCUUAACCCCGUGAGGGGACAGAGACUGUCAUACUGGAGUCUCGGAGAGGAAAGCGGAAUUCCUAGUGUAGCGGUGAAAUGCGUAGAGAUUAGGAAGACCACCGGUGGCGAAGGCGGCUUUCUGGACGAGCACUGACGCUGAGGCGCGAAAGCGUGGGGUGCGAACAGG
rnacentral:rRNA from 1 species